CCAAUUAUGUUGAUGAAAUCUAUAUCAAACACACCAAACCUUGACGUUGAUGAAUUAAGGCAAGAGGAACUUGAAAAGUUGCUUAAACAAUAUCAUAUCAUUGAUGGAAGUAAAUCAAUUUCAACUAUUGCAAAUAGAAAAAUAUUAUUUCGUCAAAUGAAUGAGUUAGCUUUUCUCGAAAAUGAAAAACGUGAACUAAAUGCAAAUCUUUAUCUAACACAGUCAGCAAAAAAUGAAAUGAUGGAUAAUAAAAUAAUAGAUGAAAUCAAAGCGCUUUUACUAAUAAUAG